GAGAAACAAACAAAACUCAUUAUUGCACAAGGCCUCGCUUUUAUCUUGCAAGAGAGUGCAAAAGUCAAACAACGAUGAAGCUCGCGGUGACGCACUUCAUAUAUGCCCAUCCAAGCAAGAAUCCACCUCACCACACCACUCACCACUACAGUUGGAUCGAUCCAACAGAACCAAUCCCUCGCCACUAAAACCCUAACCUCCGCUGACCAAAUCGACGCACGCACAGAGCGGAAGCAAAAGAGGCCAAAUUCGCGAGGGAGGGGGAUCCGAUCACCUUUAUAUAAUAGGCUUUCUUGAUCUCGGCCUCAGUGGCCGAGGGCUUGACCCCGAGCACAUCGUAGUAUUCGGUCUCUCUCACCAUUUGAUGCAGCAGUCCCGCACCGUUGACAGUUCAAUCUGCUCAAUGCUCGGAGGAAUCUGAAUUGCUGAAUCCCGGCGACGAUGAGCAGAUUUGUCGAAUUCCAGGCUCCGGCGAAUGUUGAGGAGGAAGAAGAAGGAGAAGAAGAGCUUAUUUCCAAUCACUUGUAGUGAGAAGAAUUAAUCCGACUGGCAAAUCUUCAUCGACUUCAAGGCGAUACUCUCCUUACGUGCAUGGAUUCUCCGGUCUGCAUGUACUGAUGAAGUUACACGAGUGAUGUAUUACCAAGUCCGAUCCCAAAUAUAAAGGCCAUUACUGGUUUGAAGCAGUUUUCUAAGUCUCGUAGAUUGUUACGAGAUAAUCGAAACUAUGCAGUCCGUCAUGAGAUUUUCCCGAACCACAGGGUACAAAAUGGAAUUAGCCAAUAGAUAACAAAUGAUGUCCCUAAUUUAUUUAGCUAUGCAGCGUCGUCGCUUGCGUGGAGGGAUGAAGAGGGGUGAGGUUUGAGGGGCUUUUUCUCAAGUUUCGCUUUCAGAUUGCCCACACGAGGUUUGCUUCGUUGUCAAUGCAAAGACACUGUCCCCAGGCUUCCCGAUUUAUUGGACCGUCCACUAGCAAAAUUCUUGAUUUUUCUCGUAAGAAAAAGAUGACCAUGUAACCAACCAAUAGCGAUAGAGGAUGAAAACUCCUCGGAGGAUACACUGUCAUAAUUGACAAAUUCAGUAAAAAAUUGAUUUGCCGUU